UAAUACCGGAUGCUCCGCUCCAUCGCAUGGUGGGGUGGGAAAUGCUUUUGCGGCAUGGGAUGGGGUCGCGUCCUAUCAGCUUGUUGGCGGGGUGAUGGCCCACCAAGGCGUUGACGGGUAGCCGGCCUGAGAGGGUGACCGGCCACAUUGGGACUGAGAUACGGCCCAGACUCCUACGGGAGGCAGCAGUGGGGAAUAUUGCACAAUGGGCGCAAGCCUGAUGCAGCGACGCCGCGUGCGGGAUGGAGGCCUUCGGGUUGUAAACCGCUUUUGUUCAAGGGCAAGGCACGGUUUCGGCCGUGUUGAGUGGAUUGUUCGAAUAAGCACCGGCUAACUACGUGCCAGCAGCCGCGGUAAUACGUAGGGUGCGAGCGUUAUCCGGAUUUAUUGGGCGUAAAGGGCUCGUAGGCGGUUCGUCGCGUCCGGUGUGAAAGUCCAUCGCCUAACGGUGGAUCUGCGCCGGGUACGGGCGGGCUGGAGUGCGGUAGGGGAGACUGGAAUUCCCGGUGUAACGGUGGAAUGUGUAGAUAUCGGAAAAG
rnacentral:rRNA from 1 species